rnacentral:rRNA from 1 species
UACAGAGGUGCUCAAGCGUUGUUCGGAUUCAUUGGGCGUAAAGGGUGCGUAGGCGGCGCGGUAAGUCGGGUGUGAAAUCCUCGGGCUUAACUCCGAAACUGCAUUCGAUACUGCCUGUGCUUGAGGACUGGAGAUGGAGACUGGAAUUUACGGAUGUAGCGGUGAAAUGCGUAGAUAUCGUAAGGAGACCAGUGGCGAAGGCGGGUCUCUGGACAGUUCCAUGACGCU